rnacentral:rRNA from 1 species
GCCAGCAGCCAUGUCAACCUACAACUCAUAUAUGGCAACCGACUGAAGCUCAGCAGGUGUGAGCCUGGCCAGUACCUGGAUAGGAGACCUCCUGGCAAAAGCUAAGGUUGCUGCUGGAA